UCCGGUUUGACACCGGCAGUCUCCCUAGAGUGCCCGGCUUUACCCGCUGGUAACUAGGGACGAGGGUUGCGCUCGUUGCGGGACUUAACCCAACAUCUCACGACACGAGCUGACGGCAGCCAUGCACCACCUAUCGCGGGCCCUUACGGACACCACAUCUCUGUGGCUUUUCCCGCGUAGUUCAACCUAGGUAAGGUUCUUCGCGUUGCAUCGAAUUAAGCAACAUGCUCCGCCGCUUGUGCGGGCCCCCGUCAAUUCCUUUGAGUUUUAGCCUUGCGGCCGUACUCCCCAGGCGGAUGACGUUGUACACCUGAAC
rnacentral:misc_RNA from 1 species